rnacentral:lncRNA from 1 species
UCCCCAAUAUACAUCAACCCAAGUUAGCCGCAAACCCCUCUUCAAAGAACCUCCACCAGAUCUCACCCCUUUCGAUUAUUCUGCUUUCUAAUCUCAUAGAUUUUCUUAUUGAAUUUGGAAUUCAUCACGUGGUUUCGUUUUGGUAUCAUUUGGAAAUUGAGGUCGCCGGCAAGGUUCCGUUCGAGGUUGCCGUUGAGGUGUCCAGCCGACUGAUCUGUUCGUAGUUAUCGGCGAAAGCUCCAAUCCAGAACUACCAAAUUGCUAGGCUUGUAGUUCCAACCCCCGUUCAUUUGUGCAAGAGGUCCGAUUUUUGCCUUAUAAUCUCUUGGAUAAUGGUUAAAUUCCUUGUUUGCUUUUAUUCUGUUGAAGUUACUUGUUGAAACCAUUUUGAAUUUUGUUUCCAUAUUUGUUAAGAACGUUGAGGUGUUGCUUCGAUUCUUUUGGAUUAUACCUUAGUCAUGCUGCUUUGGUAUUUAUUGGUAAAUAAUGCGUAAAUCGCAUUUUGUUUGAUAAUAUGGAAUUCAUGGAUAUGAAACUUUUUGUUGCCUCCAUUCCAGAAGGUUUGUGUCAUAGCCUUCUAAAUCAUCUUCUAUCUGCUGUUGUUUUUCGAGGAGAUCAAGCCAUCAAUUUGAAAUUUUGGACUACUCUACCUCAACUUCGUUACUUUGGACAUGUUCUCACGGAGCAUGAGGUUUAGCUUGUUAAUUUUUAUCUCCUACAUUUGAUAUAGUCAUGCAUACAUUAAACAACAUUUAUUAUAGGGAAGGGGAAAGAGCUGUAAUAGUUAGACUUUAAUAGAGAUUUUUAGGCUUUUUAACAUAAUUAAAUACAAAGAGAUUGUCAAUUUUGUCUAACACGAUGCAUACGUAUAAAAUUUCUCUUUCUCCUCUGUUUUAAUGCGUGUUAUUGUCCAUUUGGUUGGAACAUGAUGGAUGGACAAAUUUGAAUGAUUUUUAUGACCGAUCAUGUUAGUUUUAAUAAAUUGAGGCGUGCCAUGCCAAAUAAAGUCUCAAACCCUAUGACCCUCGAAUAAUUAAUGUGAUCUCCUUAGAAAUCGAGGUGUACCAUUUAAUUGAAUUUUCAUGGCCCUCGCAAAGUUGAAAGUGCGUAGUUGCUUUAGGCGUGCUAUUUAAAAAUUAUUUUCCUAAACUCGAGUGUGCAUUUAUGUGAACCAUAUCCAAAUCUCAACAACGUUAAAUAAAAUAUGUUGUGGACUGCGGGUGCAUUUAUGUGACGUGGUUCAGGACGUGUUUUAGAUGACGUUAAAUCUUUCUCCUAAAAAACAAUUAAUUAAAGCAGUUAUAAAGUUAAAAUUGAACCAUAGGUUAAAAUAUGUAUUAAAAUCAGAUAAUAGGCCAAUUGUAACAGUUGAGCGACCGUGUUAGAACCACGGAACUCGGGAAUGCCUAAUACCUUCUCCCGGGUUAACAGAAUUCCUUAUCCGGAUUUCUGUGUCCGCGGACUGUAAUACUGAGUCAAUCUUUUCCUCGAUUCGGGAUUUAAAACUGGUGACUUGGGACACCACAAAUUAUUCCAAGUGGCGACUCUGAAUUUUUAAUAAAAUAAUCCCGUUUCGAUUGUCAUUUUAAGUUGGAAAAAACUCCCUUAUACACCCUCUCGGGAUGUAGAAAAGGAGGUGUGACAUGGUUUAACAAUUUUUAUUAAAACUUAAGCUUGGGAGCUCGGAUUUGAGCGAGAUUUUGAGGGACUUUCAGAGAUAUCGAUUGGGUAACGAUUCUUAAAUGAUUCUGGCUUGUAACACAUUAAUCUAAACAUGAAUUCAUCGUUUAAUUUCGGAAUUUGUAUGAAAAUUGGGGAAACAUUCUUAGACCAAGCAUUUGAGUUUUGAUUGAGGAUUUGACAUUGGAUUGGGGUAAUUUUGAUAUGGUUAGACUCGUGAAAGUGUGAGAAUUCUAAAAAUUUAAAUUUUACCCGAUUCCGAGACAUGGGCCCGUGGGACAUUUUGGUCAUUUUACCUAAUUUUGCGUAUUAGCUUAGAUUUUCUUUGUAGAAUCAGUUACAUGAAGUCUUAUUUACGUUAUGAAAUUGAAUUGAAUAUAUUUGGGCUAUUUGCAGUCGAGUACUCGUGGCAAGAACGUGGUCUCAGAUUGAUUUUGAGCCGGUUCGAGGUAAAUGGCUUGUCUAACCUUGUGUGGGGGACCUUCCCCUUAGGAUUGGUAUAUUUGGUAAUUGAAAUACUUUGUACGUGAGGUGACGAGUGCGUACUUGUGCAAAUUAUUAGAAAUCCGAUUUUCUUUAAGUAUUUAUUAGUAUGUUCUUUUCCUGUUUUUAUUACUUGUGCUAUUAAGCCUAUUGUUAGCUUAGGAAAGUAUGUCUAAGUGAGUUAGUUGCUUUUAUUGUCCAACCUGCUUAACUGAAUUCUGUGCAACAUGCUAGGUUAGAAUCACUUGUUUACCUUAAUAUGAAAUUUGCCAUUACUGUAUAAUUUCCUGUUGCUGCUUGUAUUUAUUUUGGGACUACGAAUGUGGAAUUCCGGUAGCUCCCCCUUAUCUGUUUAUUUUGGGACUACAGAUGUGGGAUUUCGGUAGAUCCGCCUGCACAGUUAUAUGGAACUACGGGAAUGCACCCAGUACUGGUUAUUUAUAUUUGGGACUACGGAACGGGAUUCCAGUAGAUCCCCGCGCACUAUGAGUUUGACUACGGGACGACAUCCUGGGAGAUCCAUUGGAUAUGUACAUAUGAGACUACAUGGCGGUAUAAUGGGAGAUCCCUGAUUGUUAUUAUUAGUGCUGAGCUGUAUUUCCUUUCCGUGUUUACCUUGUUUUUGUAUAGUUGUUGAUGUCCUGUACAUCCUGUAUUAUUUUACUAUUGUACUUAUUUAUACUAUUUUGUUCUAUACUGUUGAUCUUUAUAUUUUAUUUAACCUCAAUAGGGCCUGACCUUCCUCGUCACUACCCAACCGAGGUUAGACUUAGCACUUACUGAGUACCGCUGUGGUGUACUCAUGCUCUUUCUGUGCAUGUUUUUCAUGUGCAGAUCCAGGUACCGCUACUCAGGCCUACUAUCCUUGAGGGAAGCAACUACUCUAGAGACUUCGAGGUACAUCUGCCGCGUCUGCAGACCGAGGAGUCCCUUUCUAUUCUAGCUGUUAAACGUUGCCCUUCU